UUAACUCAAAAUUGUAUGCAGUUGUAACAGCGCCCCUAGCCGCAAACGUAAGCAAACGUUCCAGCUCCAUACAAAUUUGUGUUA
rnacentral:pre_miRNA from 1 species